CCCCGGUUUCCCCGGGACCCUUAGUUACCAACCGAAAACCGGUCCCGGUAACUUACGUAACUUACGAAACGGUAAACGUUGGACUUAGGGUACCUUAGGAAACCCGGUCCCUAAAAGGGGGUCCAAACGACGGCCCAAGGUNUGAUUCAUGAUUGGGGUG
rnacentral:rRNA from 1 species